rnacentral:rRNA from 1 species
CCUACGGGGGGCAGCAGUGGGGAAUAUUUGGCAAUGGGCGCAAGCCUGACCCAGCAACGCCGCGUGAAGGAAGAAGGCUUUCGGGUUGUAAACUUCUUUUGUCAGGGAAGAGUAGAAGACGGUACCUGACGAAUAAGCCACGGCUAACUACGUGCCAGCAGCCGCGGUAAUACGUAGGUGGCAAGCGUUGUCCGGAUUUACUGGGUGUAAAGGGCGUGUAGCCGGGUUGGCAAGUCAGAUGUGAAAUCCUGCGGCUUAACCGCAGAACUGCAUUUGAAACUGUUGAUCUUGAGUACUGGAGAGGCAGACGGAAUUCCUGGUGUAGCGGUGAAAUGCGUAGAUAUUAGGAGGAACACCAGUGGCGAAGGCGGUCUGCUGGACAGCAACUGACGGUGAGGCGCGAAGGCGUGGGGAGCAAACAGGAUUAGAUACCCCAGUAGUC